rnacentral:lncRNA from 1 species
CAUCAGCCUCCGAAAGUGCUGGGAUCAUAGGGGUGAGCCAUGGUGCCCGGCCACCUCGAGGAGUCUUGAGCCCUCCUGGAAUUGCUGUUUGGUGUGAGGUUGGGUCAGGCCUGGUGAGUCAUCUGGGUUGUGAGCCAGCCUGCUUGGCCUCCUGGUCUCAGGCCAGCUGUGACCUGGACCUUGGGCCACCCAGCAGCUUUGUGCUGAGCCUCAGUCUGCGG